UACGUAGGUGGCAAGCGUUAUCCGGAAUUAUUGGGCGUAAAGAGCGCGCAGGUGGUUGAUUAAGUCUGAUGUGAAAGCCCACGGCUUAACCGUGGAGGGUCAUUGGAAACUGGUCGACUUGAGUGCAGAAGAGGGGAAGUGGAAUUCCAUGUGUAGCGGUGAAAUGCGUAGAGAUAUGGAGGAACACCAGUGGCGAAGGCGGCUUGCUGGGCAGCAACUGACGCUGAGGCGCGAAAGCCAGGGGAGCAAACAGGAUUAGA
rnacentral:rRNA from 1 species